CAGCAGUGGGGAAUAUUGGACAAUGGGGGCAACCCUGAUCCAGCAAUGCCGCGUGUGUGAAGAAGGCCUGCGGGUUGUAAAGCACUUUCGGCCGGGAAGAAAAGCCUAAGGUUAAUACCCUUGAGUCUUGACGUUACCUACAGAAGAAGCACCGGCUAACUCCGUG
rnacentral:rRNA from 1 species